UACGUAGGGACCAAGCGUUGUUCGGAUUUACUGGGCGUAAAGGGCGCGUAGGCGGCGCGGUAAGUCACUUGUGAAAUCUCUGAGCUUAACUCAGAACGGCCAAGUGAUACUGCAGUGCUAGAGUGUGGAAGGGGCAAUCGGAAUUCUUGGUGUAGCGCUGAAAUGCGUAGAUAUCAAGAGGAACACCUGAGGUGAAGACGGGUUGCUGGGCCAACACUGACGCUGAUGCGCGAAAGCCAGGGGAGCAAACGGG
rnacentral:rRNA from 1 species